UGGGGAAUCUUGCACAAUGGGGGAAACCCUGAUGCAGCGACGCCGCGUGAACGAUGAAGCCCUUCGGGGUGUAAAGUUCUUUCGACAGGAACGAUAAUGACGGUACCUGGAGAAGAAGCUGCGGCUAACUACGUGCCAGCAGCCGCGGUAAUACGUAGGCAGCGAGCGUUGUUCGGAGUUACUGGGCGUAAAGAGUGCGUAGGCGGCGAGCCAAGUUUGGUGUGAAAUCUCCCGGCUUAACCGGGAGGGUGCGCCGAAAACUGGGAAGCUGGAGUGUGGGAAAGGCAGGCGGAAUUCCUGGUGUAGCGGUGAAAUGCGUAGAUAUCAGGAGGAACACCGGCGGUGUAGACGGCUUGCUAGACCAUAACUGACGCUGAGGCACGAAAGCGUGGGUAGCAAACA
rnacentral:rRNA from 1 species